GACAGAGGGUGCAAGCGUUGUUCGGAAUCAUUGGGCGUAAAGCGCGCGUAGGCGGCUUGUUAAGUCGAAUGUGAAAUCCCAGGGCUCAACCCUGGAAGUGCAUUCGAAACUGGCAAGCUUGAGUCCUGGAGAGGGUGGUGGAAUUCCCAGUGUAGAAGUGAAAUUCGUAGAUAUUGGGAGGAACACCAGUGGCGAAGGCGACCACCUGGACAGAGACUGACGCUGAGGCGCGAAAGCGUGGGGAGCAAACAGG
rnacentral:rRNA from 1 species